GACGAACGCUGGCGGCGUGCUUAACACAUGCAAGUCGAACGGAAAGGCCCUGCUUUUGUGGGGUGCUCGAGUGGCGAACGGGUGAGUAACACGUGAGUAACCUGCCCUUGACUUUGGGAUAACUUCAGGAAACUGGGGCUAAUACCGGAUAGGAGCUCCUGCUGCAUGGUGGGGGUUGGAAAGUUUCGGCGGUUGGGGAUGGACUCGCGGCUUAUCAGCUUGUUGGUGGGGUAGUGGCUUACCAAGGCUUUGACGGGUAGCCGGCCUGAGAGGGUGACCGGCCGCUGGUGGAGUGAGACACGCGCGUGACUCGCACGGGAGGCCGCAGGGGGGACAAUCGGCCGCUGGGGUGAAGUCGGAGGCGGAGCAGCGGUGGGCGGGGUGACGGCGUUCGUGGUGUAACCCUCUGGCCGGUGGUGCGAGGGGGGAGUGACGAUAUGGGGACACGACGCACCGGCUACAUACGGGCCGGCAGCUGAGGUAUAGUGGGAGCAGCCCACGGUUGAAC
rnacentral:rRNA from 1 species